rnacentral:lncRNA from 1 species
CCAAGUAUGCCGAGAUUGUUUGCUUUUGCCAAGAUCCAUAAAGAGGGUAAAGAAAUGAGACCUAUAGUGGAAAGGUGCAGAGGACCAACAUUUAUUCUUGAAAAGAAAUUACACAAGUUUCUCACCUUGCACCUUGAGAGUAAUAUACAUGUGACACAGGAUCCAAGGGAGGUGGUUAAUGAGAUACAAGAUCUAAUUUUAAUGGAUGAUGAAAUUGGAACUGCGAUGGACUAUGAAAGUUUAUACCCGUCUGUAAAAGUUGAGUCAUGCAGGUUAGCACUUUUAGAUUUCAUGCACAGCAAGAGCCCAGAUUUGGCAUGUUACAAUAAUAAUUUGAUAGAACUAGCUAACCUUAUUUGUUAUGAAUCUUUUUUCAUCUUUAAUGGCCAUCAUACUGAUAAAAAAGAGGAGUCCCUAUGGGAAGUCCCAUGUCAGGACUCUUGUAUGAACUUGUAUUGAGAAAAUUGGAAAAAAGUGCUCUCUUUUCUUAAAUGACAUUGUGUAUUUUAAAAGAUACGUUGACGAUGUCUUUGUAGUUUGGAAGAAUGACCAAAACAUUGAUGCUUUUAUUAACAAGAUCAACAACAACAAUGGCCUCAUGCUGAAGAUUGAACAGAAAUGUGCCUCACGUAAUAAUCCAUCCAAAACAACUUGACUUCGGAAGAUUUGCCAAGAAAUUGACAACAGACAGACCGGCGCCUUCCCCACAUAGCGCGUGCGGGGAGAUCACUGCUGAAACGUCAUCUGGCCAACUACAGCAAUUGGUGUCUGGGGUUGGAUGUGUGCCGCAGGGCCGGGAGAGUUGGUCAUGGUUGACGGGAACCUGAACGCCGUACAGUAUGUGCAGAUUUUGGAAGACGUGCUGGUGCCAACGGUAACGGCCGUGUACGGCGAAGACCCAUUCUGAUUCGUCCAUGACCGCUCCCCGGUCCAUACAGCCAAAAUCACAACGGAGUGGAUGGAAGCGCAUCCUCAGGUGCAGGACAUGCGGUGGCCUGGGAGAGGGGCUGAUAUGAACCCGAUCGAGAACAUUUGGAGCGAGAUAGUUCGCGAACGUAUUCAGGCGUCGACUCCCAGCGACCUUUGGCAAGUCGUCCACGGUCGUUGGGAGAACCUGAGAUCAGGCACAGUUUGUCAAAGUGUUGUGGAAAGUAUGCCUGAUCGCCUGAAUAAGGUCGUGAACUUAGCUGGCUAUUGGUCGGGAUACUGACCCUCUCCCACAGUACGGAUACUGACCGUCUCGUCAGCUGAGCAUCUUCUUCUGCAGUCGUCGUACUCCUGGGUGGACCCGGCGACUUCUUUGGAGACAAGGAAUUAGUCUCCCGAUGCAGUUUAAUUACGCAAGAGACAAUUCUCAGUGAUAUUUGUAGAACAUUGCUAAUUUCGUUGACAGUUCUGUUUUGAUCCUGGUGUGUUUGUAAAUAGACUUGUAAAUACACUUGUAAAUAAAAGCAAUUAUUCAUAUGUAAUCUGUGUGGUUUUCAAACAACUCGUGAGAACUUAGCAUAAUUAAAUGUUAUAACAGUUAUUAAAACGCUUAUUUUAGAUUUAGCUGCAUUGCUGGUGGAUUGGUCGCUAAAGUAGUUUUGUUAUCUCUGAUUCGCAAUUGUGACAUAGUUCGGAAAGGAUUCAUGCCCAAUACGCGUUAUGUAGGGUGUAACCUACAAGAAUGUCCAAUGAAGUAGAAUGCACUGUGGAUUUUAACAAAUCACAUUCAAGGAAAUUUCCAAUGUUUUAUUGGACGAUAACAAACCAAUAUACUUCUUGUCUUGUCUCUGAACUUGCAGGACUUAAUCAGUAAAUAAGAAAGGCACGAAAAUGGGAGGGGAAAUCAAAUUCAGAAGGAAAAAUAGAUGAUGAG